rnacentral:rRNA from 1 species
UACAGAGGGUGCAAGCGUUAAUCGGAAUUACUGGGCGUAAAGCGUGCGUAGACGGUUACAUAAGUCAGGUGUGAAAGCCCCGGGCUCAACCUGGGAAUUGCAUUUGAGACUGUGUAGCUAGGGUGCGGAAGAGGGAAGCGGAAUUUCCGGUGUAGCGGUGAAAUGCGUAGAUAUCGGGAGGAACACCAGUGGCGAAGGCGACUACCUGGCCUGUUCUUGACGCUGAGGCGCGAAAGCUAGGGGAGCAAACGGG